rnacentral:rRNA from 1 species
ACGUAGGGUGCGAGCGUUAAUCGGAAUUACUGGGCGUAAAGCGUGCGCAGGCGGUUUCGUAAGACAGAUGUGAAAUCCCCGGGCUUAACCUGGGAACUGCGUUUGUGACUGCGAGACUUGAGUGCGGCAGAGGGGGGUGGAAUUCCGCGUGUAGCAGUGAAAUGCGUAGAGAUGCGGAGGAACACCGAUGGCGAAGGCAGCCUCCUGGGACAUGACUGACGCUCAGGUACGAAAGCGUGGGGAGCAAACAG